AUUGAACGCUGGCGGCAGGCCUAACACAUGCAAGUCGAACGAGUGGCGGACGGGUGCGUAAUGUCUGGGAAACUGCCUGAUGGAGGGGGAUAACUACUGGAAACGGUAGCUAAUACCGCAUACCAUCAGAUGUGCCCAGAUGGGAUUGGCUUGUUGGUGGGGUAACGGCUCACCAAGGCGACGCACCCUAGCUGGUCUGAGAGGAUGACCAGCCACAUUGGAACGGGGACAGGGUCCAGACUCCUACGGGAGGCAGCAGGGGGGAAGAUGGCACAAUGGGCGCAGGCCUGAUGCAGCCAUGCCGCGUGUAUGAAGAAGGCCUUCGGUUUGUAAAGUACUUUCAGCGGGGAGGCGUUACCCGCAGAGGAAGCACCGGCUAACUCCGUGCCAGCGCCGCGGUAAUAC
rnacentral:rRNA from 1 species